rnacentral:rRNA from 1 species
CCAAUAGCGUAUAUUAAAGUUGUUGCAGUUAAAAAGCUCGUAGUUGAAUUUCGGGGUCAGUAGGUUGGUCGUGCCACUGGUAUGCACUGGCCUUACUGAUUCCUCCUUCUUGAAGAACUGUGAUGUCAUUUACUUGGUGUUGCAGGGAAACAGGACUGUUACUUUGAAAAAAUUAGAGUGUUUAAAGCAGGCUAACGCUUGAAUACAUUAGCAUGGAAUAAUGAAAUAGGACGUUUGAUCCUAUUUUGUUGGUUUCUAGGAUUGACGUAAUGAUUAAUAGGGAUAGUUGGGGGCAUUAGUAUUCAAUUGUCAGAGGUGAAAUUCUUGGAUUUAUUGAAGACUAACUACUGCGAAAGCAUUUGCCAAGGAUGUUUUCAUUAAUCAAGAACGAAAGUUAGGGGAUCGAAGACGAUCAGAUACCGUCGUAGUCUUAACCAUAAACUAUGCUGACUAGGGAUCGGAUGAUGUUAAUUUUUUAAUGACUCAUUCGGCGCCUUACG